rnacentral:rRNA from 1 species
AUUGAACGCUGGCGGCAGGCCUAACACAUGCAAGUCGAGCGAGCGGCGGACGGGUGAGUAAUGUCUGGGAAACUGCCUGAUGGAGGGGGAUAACUACUGGAAACGGUAGCUAAUACCGCAUACCAUCAGAUGUGCGCAGAUGGGAUUAGCUGGUAGGUGGGGUAACGGCUCACCUAGGCGUCGGUCCCUAGCUGGGCUGAGAGGAUGACCAGCCACACUUGAACUGAGACACGGUCCCGACUCCUCCGGGAGGCAGCAGUGGGGAAUAUUGCACCAUGGGCGCAAUCCUGAUGCCGCCAUGCCGCGUGUGUGAAGAAGGCCUUCGGGUUGUAAAGCACUUUCAGCGGGGAGGCGUUACCCGCAGAAGAAGCACCGGCUAACUCCGUGCCAGCAGCCGCGGUAAUUC